CGUUUGGUUGCCAGUACAGAGGGUGCAGGCUUGCAUCCGCACGUGCAAUUUGUACGCGUGGAUGCAGGAUGGAAGGCACGCGGGAAUCGGUCGUAGCUUUGGAUGCAGGCUCGCUGCUAGGUUCAUUGUCUCUCUCAAACUGCUUCACCUCGUCUAAAAUAUACAUACAGCUCUAUGAGAUACCGUACAGACAGACACCUAGCUGACUGAGAUGAACAGUAAGGAGAUAGAUGGACUGAGGAGAGCAAGAGGUUGAAAGUCGUCGAUGAGUUAAUGGAGUUGUGAUGGGAGGAACAGUGGCAGGUGGCAGGAGGUGGUCGGUUGCUUUUCUGUGUGUGAGAGACUCGGAGAGAGAGAGAGUGAUGGACUGAGAGAGAGCAGGAACAGAGAGGGGCCGGUGAUGGAAAAGAUCUGAGAGAGGAAAAUAUCUGAGUAAGAGAGAAUUUGAAUGAUAAUUUCAAUUAGAUGUAUUUGAAUUUAAACUGGAUUUAGGAUAAUUCAAAUUGAACAUGAAUCAAAAUUUGUAUCGAACUGAAUUGAAUGAUCAAAAGAUUAUUUUAGGA